UAGGGAAUCUUCGGCAAUGGACGAAAGUCUGACCGAGCAACGCCGCGUGAGUGAAGAAGGUUUUCGGAUCGUAAAACUCUGUUGUUAGAGAAGAACAAGGACGUUAGUAACUGAACGUCCCCUGACGGUAUCUAACCAGAAAGCCACGGCUAACUACGUGCCAGCAGCCGCGGUAAUACGUAGGUGGCAAGCGUUGUCCGGAUUUAUCGGGCGUAAAGCGAGCGCAGGCGGUUUCUUAAGUCUGAUGUGAAAGCCCCCGGCUCAACCGGGGAGGGUCAUUGGAAACUGGGAGACUUGAGUGCAGAAGAGGAGAGUGGAAUUCCAUGUGUAGCGGUGAAAUGCGUAGAUAUAUGGAGGAACACCAGUGGCGAAGGCGGCUCUCUGGUCUGUAACUGACGCUGAGGCUCGAAGGCGUGGGGAGCAAACAGG
rnacentral:rRNA from 1 species